AACAACACUCUGAUCCGCAAACAAACAGAUGAAGAAGAGGAGGAUGAUGACGGUCCAGCGCAUACAAGGAGAAAGUAACCAAGAGAAGUGUCAUCGCAGAAGAAAUGGCAGAAGUUCGUCAGACACCUGUGAACACCGAGCAGUGCUUGGAGUCAGACAGUGGACAUCAUCUUUAUUAUACUUCUCUGACUGUACUAGCAAGGAGCAGUUAGAGUCGAUGAGAAAAACUCAAAAGAAGAUACUUUGAAGAAUGC